UACAGAACACAUUUUGACACGUAUUAAAAGCCCAGGCAUGAAUGAGAAAAUUAAUGAUGGCCGAGUUCUUUUUAGCUGCCUCAGUUUCGGUGUUUUGGUAAUGUGCAUACAGGUUCACAUGCUGCCAUUGUCUCCAAUUUCAACUCCUUUAACUUCUCGUACUCCUCCUCCAGGAUGACCUCUGCAUGUUCACUUUAGCCUCCAGUGCGGGAUCCAUCUUUGUUUUGAGCUUUUGGGCAUCAUAUCGGAUUUGUGUAAACUCUGGCAGGCCGAAGAAACCACCAACUGCCAACAACAGCAUGGGAACUCCAUAUUUCACCGUUUUGUUCCUCUGCAGGGUUCUUAAAGUUAAACAUGACUUUAUUCUUCAGCUACAGGUCCAUUUUGUAAAAGCUAACGGCGAGCAGGUCACAGCCGGGACACGCUUCCUGGUUCGGUCCGCUCCGCUAAACUGUCCGUACAGUUACGAGGACACGAAGAAGGUUCCUUGUAAUAGCAUGACUGUGAUGAUUUAAUAGAGCAGAGCCACCUCUAGCACUUUUUAUAAAGGUAAACAAUAUCACAGCGGCACAGAAGGGAAGUCAAGCUAUCUGGAUCGCCCCCUGUUGGAUGAUUGCUGUAGAGGUUAUUAGCCUCAACCCCCAACUACGGGCCACAAGCCAAACUAAUCUAAAUGACCCAUGUAGCGAGGACCCGAUGCCAGGUCCAGUGGACAGACUUCAGACGUCUCUGUGUGUCCGGUCCUGUCUCUGGUUGCCAGGAUACAGACGCUGCUGCACCCGCACGUUUAAAAAUGUCUACACCUGAAACUCCACCACGUCUAAAGAAGCAAAAACGUUUGCAAAUGUACAGACUGGAGUGGGAAGAGUGGAACCCCUGGCAAUGGGUACAAGGCAAACUGUGUUUUCUGUUGCUCAUGGACUGGCUGAAGUAAGGCAGCAUCAGGAGACAAACAUGGAGGAAAUAUGAGAGAGAACAGAGAGAACCCAACCAGCAGGUCACAGUUUAUCAUCAUCUAAUCAUCUCCUGAAGUCGAUAUGACCAAAGAACUACAGAAUCUUCACAACCUGCUCAAACUCUUCGUACAGGACCUCACAACACGGGUCAAGAAGGUUUCCAUCUCAUUUCUACUCCGAAGCUCACCUUCUCCUGCUCAAACUGCUGACAAAUGUUUCUGCUGCUCUAAAGUCUGGUCUCCAGAACUUCCUAAAAACUCUCAAAGUCUCUUCUGCUGCAGGUUGCUUUGUAGAACUGUUCCAGAAAACCUCACUAAACCACAUGGAGGGGCCUCAAGAUAGUCGUCCAAAUGAAACUGUACAAAAACCAAACUAGCACAAGCCAAACACUAAAGUCUCCUGCAGCCUACCAGAGAACCUCUGAGAACAGAGAAUCAGGACAGGAACUCUUACCUUCUGGACAACCAACGUUGGUUCACAAAGAAGAAUACAGAAUGUGUCUGACCAAAAACCUCUAAAGACUCACUACAGCCAAGAUAAAGACACAACGCAGCUGCACCAAACCCACUAAUCACUGCACACAUUAACACCAUGUGCUAACUGUGGCUAAAGAACCUCAUUUACCAAGACAACUAUCCAGUACAAAGCCCUAAAACACACCAAGAAACACAUUAAAGACGAUUUUACUGCUGGAAGCUGCAAGCCAACGCCUAAAGAACAAACUACAGCAACGGAACCAAACCCGGUGAAGAGAAGCAGAGGAAAUGUUUUUGACUCCAGCCAAAUAAAGCAGGAAGACACUGAGUUGCUCAGGUGUUCCUGAUAAUACCAAGCAGCCACCUGGACAGCCAAUAGGAACACAGCUUACUGGAAGUCCAGAGGGCUGGCUUAGUGAAGGAAAUUUAAUUUAAAGUUGAAGCAGAAAGUUAACAAAGAAAGUUGAAAACCACCUUCUGAUACCUGAAAUCUCUGAGUUUUCACACAAAGAAUGCCUGAACAUGUCAAACUGGUUCCAUAGUAGAACCAUCAUUGUAAAAACGUCAUAGUAUGAUGUGUUGCUCAAAAAACAUUAGGACCCGGCUGUCUAGGGUCACCGAGGAGCAACACAAAAACAGGACAAACGCUGGAUUCCAGGGGGUUAGGUGGCUAUUUAUUUGAAAGAGUAAGUUUACAACAACACAACAUGUGAGCAGAAAAAUCACAAAGUCUGUCUUUAGUUCAGCUGAAAAUAUUAUUUUUUGUCUUUUUUAUUGACCAAACUUUUCAGGAAGUAGAUGAAGAAUAAUUAAAGCUCUCAUGUAUAAGUCCAACUUAUUUUGGAUCCUUGUGGAGAUUUUAAUCUUAGAGUUUGUAAAGCUGUUGAGUUUUUAGAGUCACAUGGAUUGUUUUGACUUUUAAUAACCAAGUCCUGAAAUAAAAUUACAGUUGUGGAUUUCUGUCAUGUCUGGACUAAACAAAUAACAGCAGCAUAAAUCUCAAACGUCAUUAUAAGGAGUCUAGAUUGAAGUUUCUCACUUGAUAAUGAUCAAAACAUGAAAUUUAGGUUGAUUUAAAGGAAUAUUCCACCUUAAAUCUUUGAAUGUUGACCUAAAAGGUUGGUUUCAGAAAGUAUUCCAGCUACAAGGUCCUCACACAUCCACCUUAAAGGAACAUUCCACCAAAAAUCCUUGGACAUGCACCUAAAAUGUUGGUUUAACCAAGUAUUCCAUCCAAAAUCCUCAGAGACCUGAGGGGCUGGUUAAAAGGAAUAUUCCACCUAAAACCUCAAAUAUAGAUCCGAAAGGGUGGUUUAGAAAAAAUCCUUCAAUGUAGACCAAAAAAGUUAGUAUGGAGGAAUAUUACACCUGAAAUGUAGACCUGAGAAGUUGGUUUGGAAGAAUAUGCCAUCCUAAACAUCCUUAAAUGUAAACCUAAAAACGGUUUGGAAGAAAAUUCCACCUAAAAACGUUCAACAUAUUUUCCAGACACAGUAAACUGUCACUUUUACAAUCUUCAGCAGGCCAAACCUACGCCAGUCAUUUACAUUUAGAAAUAUCUUUGGUACAGUUAGGUGAUUCAUCAUCAGAUAUGAUUUCAACAUUUUUUUUCAGGAUGAGUGUUAAUUCUUUGAAAACAGAAAAAUCUUCAUCAAUGUCUGAGCGAUACAGUUGAAAGCUCCAG